UCGUUUUCAUUUUAUUUUUAUUCUUUUUAAAAAAUUUCCAAAUUGUUUUAGGCAAAAACAAAAUUAAAAAUUAAAAACAAACUCAUUGAUAAUAUAUUUUAAAUGUAUAUUAAAAUUAAAACAAUAAUUAAAUUAUGCAUAACAUAAUUUAAAUGGCAAUUUAAAAUUUAAAAAUGCAAAAUAGGGAAAUUUUAAAACCCGAUACCGAAUAUAAAGGUCCUGGAUGUUACACUUGACCACAUGGGUGAGGCGGAAAGCCCAAACCAUAUGGCUGGCCCAGCACACAGGGUGUGCCAGGUGGGGCCACGCAGCAUAUGACCUCUGCUGCACCACAACAAUUCUGUAUUGGCACUGUAGUGCCUUCUUCAAGGAAAUCCACCAACAUUCGUUUGUGCAACCAUUUCAACCCAAAAUCAGCUUCCAUGAAACAUUUGUAAUUUACAUUCAAACAACUAACAACAAGAGACUAAAUCAUUUGGUCAUAAAACAAAAACCACAUCAAACAUUCAUCACGCACACGAUCAUACCAGAAAUAAACUUGUAUACAUUUCAAGUUUUAAUGGUUUCAUAAUCAUAAAAAUCUCUUCAGAAGUGUGGGAAUAAAUCCUAAAACCCUUAUCUACUGUCUAAUGAUCUAGUUCCCAAAAAAAUGAAGUCUGUUUGUGGUUUCGAAGGAAGGAGACAGCUGUCCGAGGAGAAUGAUAGUUACAGCAGUUGUUUCUGAGCUAACAAAGUGUUUUCAUAUGUAGAAGGGAAGAAGGCACGGUGGCAGGCUUCCACGGCCAGAGGAGAGAAGAACUGCUUGCGGUGGCUCUUAGGUUACCCUCACUUUCAAUCAAACUCUCUCUCUCGAGCUUCACACUUUCAGUCAAGUGAAGAAGGAGAAGAAAAGAGAAGAAAAUGAAGAAGAGAGAGGGUUAAUCAAGCUUUAAAUAACCAAGGAGAGAUGCAUGUGAUCGACGCAAAUUUGGUCAUUGAUCAACCAUAGUGGCCGGCCGGCAAUCACGUCAUAGCGUGCAUGCACGCCAUGUGGCAGUCGUGGCAGGUUGCGACUAUAGACAGACUAGAUUUUAGUCCAUAAAGGGAUGUGCGGCACUGUUCCUCCACGUGCAGUGCUGCAGGCUCGUAACAUCGUUGACUCGCAGGCUCGGG
rnacentral:lncRNA from 1 species